UUUUAUUAAUCAUAGAGAUCGAUUGGGAAUACCUGUGAUGAUUUAACUGAAUGCCUCUCCAACUGAUUGUUGAAUGUCUAUUGUUCAAAUCAUAAAUGUUGAUUGGGAGAACCAUUAAAACGAGUGCUUCUCCGAUAGAUAGAACUUAGAGGAUUGUGAAGUUUCCUUCAAAUUAUGUCCAUUACUCAACCUCGAGUGACACCUUAGAGCUAGUGUAAAGUCAAGAAAGUAUAUCCUGCUCGGGAUGAAGUCAAGGUUAGAUAAC